rnacentral:lncRNA from 1 species
GGAGGCGUCGGGGCUGCGCCGUACAACUUCCGGCUGUAAAGAUGGCGGCUUCCUAGUGAGUCGGCGGCUGAUUUAGAAGGAGGUUCAGGCUACGGACGGACUCCGGCCGCUGGACCUGGCCCUGCAGCAGGGACACCUGGAGUGCGCGCGAGUCCUGCAGGAUCUCGACACGCGGACCAGGACCCGGACCCGGAUCGGGGCAGAGACUCAGGAGCCCGAGCCUGCACCUGGCA